rnacentral:rRNA from 1 species
UACGGAGGGUGCAAACGUUGCUCGGAAUCAUUGGGCGUAAAGCGCACGUAGGCGGACUGUUAAGUCGGAUGUGAAAGCCCUCGGCUUAACCGAGGAAGUGCAUUCGAAACUGGCAGUCUUGAGUACAGAAGAGGGUCGCGGAAUUCCCGGUGUAGAGGUGAAAUUCGUAGAUAUCGGGAGGAACACCAGUGGCGAAGGCGGCGACCUGGGCUGAUACUGACGCUGAGGUGCGAAAAGCGUGGGGAGCCAAACAGGG